GAUGAACGCUGGCGGCGUGCUUAACACAUGCAAGUCGAGCGAGAAAUCGCUGAUUGAAACUUCGGUAGAUUGAAGCGAUGGAAAGCGGCGGACGGGUGAGUAACACGUGGGAAACCCGCCUUUUACAGAGGGACAGCCGAGGGAAACCUCGAUUAAUACCUCAUAAUGCAUCAUCAUCGCAUGGUGGAGAUGCCAAAGAUUUAUCGGUAAAAGAUGGUCCCGCGUCUGAUUAGCUGGUUGGUGAGGUAGCGGCUCACCAAGGCGACGAUCAGUAGCCGGCCUGAGAGGGUGAACGGUCACAUUGGAACUGAGACACGGUCCAGACUCC
rnacentral:rRNA from 1 species